UCCUCUGGCGGGUUGCGUGCGGAAGCCUUCUGGCUUGCCGGUUUCCUUGUGGGCCGGUCGACCAACCGCGUGCAGCCCGCCUUACUU
rnacentral:antisense_RNA from 1 species